GCCCGGCUGGCUGAGUGGGAAGAGCAUGCGACUCUUGAUCCCAGGGUUGUGAGUUUGAGCCCCGUGCAGGGUG
rfam:Felis catus isolate Cinnamon breed Abyssinian chromosome A1, whole genome shotgun sequence.